GUCUAAGCCCAUGCUACCCUGAACAAGCCCGAUCUCAUCUGAUCUUGGAAGCUAAGUAGGAUCAAGUCUGGUUAGUACUUGGGUGGGAGAUCACCUAGGAAGACCAGGUGCUCUAGGCG
rnacentral:rRNA from 1 species